ACGGGUGGAGGAUUAAGAGUGAAAUUCACCCCUGUGCCGAGAGAGAGUGCAAGAUCAAUCAAUGCAUCACUUAGACACUCCAAAAGGGGGUGGAUUUUAAUCCUUGGUGAAAUAAGAGGGAAGACCAAAAAGAUUGGACCAUAAUGGAAGCACAGGAAGUACAGAGUAAAAGGAAUAUUUCUAGAAGAACAAACUUUAGAAAGGGGUCACCAGAGAGACAAGGGCAUUGCAACUCUGUACUAUCCACUUUCCAGGGCUCAUCAACUUGUUCCAACUUUCAGGAUGGGGGUCACCUGGGGAAGCGAUGUCACUACUAACACAAAUACUGCCAUGUUCCAGGGCAAGAAGAGAUGGUGGAUCUUAAGGCCUCUCCUGCCCCAGGCACUGCAGAGGACACCGAAGUGGAACUGGCCUGAUUGCAGCACCUGAGAGUCCAGGAAGAACAUGAGCACCAGAGACUGGUGGCAGAAUUGUGGAUGAGGGACACUGAAGCAGCCGAGACAGUUAAAAAGAGAGCCCACCAAAGAUCCAUGAAAAAUAGCAGCAGUCAAAGAUAAUGAAGAAGCUGAGGAGAGGGCACACAGGAGGCAGAUGGAAGCUCAUAAUCUGAGCUGUAAUGUUCUAGAGGAGCCAAAAGGUGCUUCCCCAGCCAGGGCGUACACCUACACACCACACAAGGGAUUGGGAGAAGGUCUGCCUUAUUUAUAAAGAAACUGACUGUAUAGAGGAUUUCAAGGGUGGAUAAGAGAGACUAUGUGGGAUGCACAAUAUAGCAGCAGAUAAAUAGACGCCUUUCCUCUUAACCAGAUUAACUACGAAAGCCAGGCAAGUUUUUAAUGAUGUGAAGGAGGAGGAUGCCAAGUUGUAUAAGAAAAUUACCCCUGAGACCUAUUCAAUGAAGUAUAGAAACCUCAAAAAUCUAACAAUGUCAGCCAUGUUGAAUAUCAGCAUAAAAUGUGUAAUUUUAUGAGAGAAUGGAAGUGGGGGCUGAUGGUGAUUAUGGAAGACAAAGAGCAAUUGCUAUGGAUAAUUACAGAUGAGGUAAAGGCAGUCAACUAUGACAAAAAACCUUCUCAUUUGACAGGCUGCAGAAAUUGCUGAUGAGUAUGUUGAUCAAGAUCCCAUGUGGGGCACAAAUCCCAGGGGAAGAGAAAUCCCAUGUUAAGAGGGGAUUGGAAAUAAACCUAACCCCAACUUUGGCCUCUCUUGGGAUUUUUAAAUCAGUGUUUAAAGCCCCCUACCUUAAAGGAGGGUUUUAUAUGUCCCGGAGACCUGCAGUGAUGGCAAAUUGCACAAAAUAUAAGGUGACUCCAUGAGCCACACCUCUUCUGCCACAGUGAAUGCCAUUGCCAUUACUCCAGAGGCAGUGAUAGAGCAAGAGAAAAUCACAGAAGAGAAAAUAUUAGGACUGAACCUUGGGAGUAUAGUGAGGAAUUUAUUACAAAUUCUAAGGUAAAUGGUAUUGAUUGUCUCCCUCCAGUCCUCACAAUGUUCCAAGUCAUUUGGUCAAGGAGAAUUUGGUAAGAGAGGAAGACACUCUUCCUGGUUUAAAUAUAUUAGCUUUGGCCAAAUUCCCUGUAACUGUACCAUUGGCCGAGGUCUACCUCAAGUCUGAGGAUUUUAAAGGAGAUAUUGUGGGCGUAGGAAUCUACUGCCUGCUGAUGUUUUAAUAGGUAAUGAUAUUCUAGCCAUGUCUAAGCAGGUUAAUAUCAUAACUUGCAGCGAGAAAAAGUAUAGCUUUACCUCACCUGCCUUGUCUGUGGACAGCAGGGGGCCGAGAGUGGGGUUGUGCCUUGCUUCUUACCAGUCUGUCUUGAGUUUGGUACUUGCGCUCUUGAGCCACUGCAGGACAGCUUGACACAUAUAAAGAGGCGUCUGGAGGAGAGAAAAAAGGUUGGGAGCAAAUGGUAGGAGCAGUUGGCCAAAGGGCAGAAAGAGCUGUAUAUCAGCCAUGAGUGCACUGCAAGUGGAGAGAAGGACUGGAACACUAAGGAAGAUAGCCGGGUAACAAGACUAGAAAGCUGAAUGGCAACCAAAAGAGACUGAUAGCUACGCUGCAGUAUCCAUGGGUAGUAGCCAGGAAGGAAAAGCCUCGGAGAGGAGAAGAUGACCACUUGGUAGCAAGUGGAAGUUCUAGGUGGAAAUGUUAAAUUGAGCACUAUUAUCCAAACACCACUAACAAGCUCAGAGUAUGUUCUUCCUAUGACACUUUGAAAGUCUAAUAUGGAAAAUGCUUUGUUCUGAUGAAUUUUGAGCACAAUGCAGUAACUCCUAACAAAGAACCAGUUAAAAUAUCUGAUAUUUAAUUAAGUAGUCUAAAAUAGCUCCAUAUGAUCUGCCUCUUUAUUCCAGUGGGGAAAAGAGUUUGUCUCCUGGCCCACACACUCAUUUUUUUAAGUUUUCCUCCAGCAUUGCUAUCACUAAAGGCUUGCCACAGAAAGUGAAGUCCCCCUUCCCACAUUACUCUAGAUGCCUAGGACUCUAAUAAUGAAACACGUAUUCUACACAGACUGAGGCAGCAGUCCCACAUGGAGCCUUCUUCCGGAAGAGCCAUGGAGAGAGAUGACUAAGAAACAGUGAAGACCUUUUUCUCUUUCUAUCUACCACAAGAAAAUAAGUUACUUGUUUUGUAAUUUGUUAGGAAAAUCUGAUUUUCCCUCUUCCCCCCAUAUCGUAUAGAGACCAUAGUCUCUCUUCUGAACGUUAGCCGAGCUUCAGUUGUAACGCAUCGGUCAAGGUGAGCUGUCUCUCCCUUUCUACCCGAUGAGUCUGUUCACAGCUUUGAGUUGACAGGCUUCUCUAGCUGAAGUUGUAGGUAACUCAUGUUUUUAAUCUCUGGAGGUCCCUAGCUCAAUCCUCAGUGACAGCCAAGAUGUCAGCCCUUACACUAUGACCAUCCAUCACUCCGUUACCCAGGUAACCAUUAAAAUAGGGGAAAUAAUUAAAACUGCUUACUUCUUGCUCAGGAAGGCUGGAAUUGUGGAGUGCUACACCAACUGAAAAGCAAGCAGAACAGUUCUUUGAACUAAGUAAGAACUAAAGAUUCAGGGCGGAACAAACACUCCUGGACGGGGAAGUAGUGGUGUUCUCAUCCUUCCUUCAUUUCCAUCCCCUUCCAAUAACUGUGGUUUCAGAGAUCCCUAAACAAACCAAGAUGGCCAGAACCCCUCUGUGCUAUGCAUUUCUUUGAAGGCUUCUUCUCAGACAAGAAAAUGAACACUUUAACGGACCACUCUCUCAUGAUGAAAUCUGAAGGUGGAUAGGCACAGUUGACAUGCAGAGGGCACAGUGUGCUCAAAACCACUCUGCCGCUGCAGGUAAAGCUCUCACUGGGUGCUGACUCAAGAAGGUAAGCAGCACCUGCCCUGAUAGUCCCCUACUGCCCACAGCCAUCAGCAUGCAGGUGGUCCUAAAACUCUUCCUGCUUCUUGGCAUAACAUAGGAGAUUUUAGCCUAAUCUAAGUGUUUUAUUUAGUUUGAAUGUGUCCUUUGGUAAUAGUUCUAUGUUGUCCAGGCACCAGAAUAUGUGCGUUAGUAAUUGGUGUGUGUGUUUGUACAUACAUGUACAUAAGAAACAUUUAUAUGGCUGCUUAAUAAAGGAAGUGUGAUUGUUUUCACAAUACCCAGAGCAUAUAUUAGCAAUAAUUAGUGGUGAUUGUACGAGGUUAUAAACACUUUCCAAAUGCCAAUAAACACCCAGGCUGGAAGCAAAUAUUUAAUUAAUGCCAUAGCACAAUCUUAUGUGUAGCCAAGUUACUCAACACCACUCAAACGACUUCAAACAGCAGAGCUACUGCUCUAUCCAUUAUGCAAAUAUUUUGUUUGCAGUAAUAAAAAAGGGUCUCACAUGUCACACAAAGUUAAACUGACACAUGCUUUAAAAGAGAUGCCCCAUGGCAGCCGCUCUAGAUGAAACCAAAAAAACAACAACCACAACGUAAUGACGCAUUUGUGAAGUAUUUCCUUGGGAGAAAAGUUGCAUUUUUUUCCCCUAAAGAGCAGAUCCAUCAGAUGAGACUAUGUGGAACUCAGGGGAUUGAGUCCCCGAUCAACCUUCUUUUUGGAACUUGUUAAGAGCUGGGAAGUCACUCCUGGCCCUACCUCUCAUGUCACGGGUAUCUGGGUAAAGGAUCUGAAUUUGCUUUUCACUCUCUAGUUAAAGUUUGGUUAAAUCCUCUUCUCUAACGAUAUUUGUGUGGAUCAUUGUGACAGGCAACCUGAAAGUCAUUUUUGUUUUUGAAGCUAUCCCUGUAACUUUACCAGUUUUGUAAUCCUGUCAUGCUCUGCAAACUAAGCAGGUAUGGGUGUAUUCACUACAUGGAUGGGAGAUUUCCAAAAAAGCGUGUACCCAUUGUGAGAUGGUGUUAGUCAUUCACUAGGGGGAACUAGCAUGGUGUUAAAGAGUAUUUGAAUGUUGACAGUUGCUGUCUAUUGGGCAAGAUGUAUAACUGAGUUCCUGACCAUGUGUGAUUAUUCUAGAGAUCUUAUGGUACAUUUUGUAAGAAUUAGUGUUAACUCUGGUUUCUUGACCAAAUAACGAUUUUGAGUAAUUAUAUUUUACCUACGGACUCCUAAGAAUAGUUAAAUUAUUUAUCUGCAAGAUAAUGAUAAAUCAGUGUCUUUA